UUCAACGGCCACGGUACCCUAACCGUGCGAAGGUAGCACAAUCACUUGUUCUCUAAAUAAGGACCAGUAUGAACGGCACCACGAAGACUACACUGUCUCCUUUCUGCAAUCAGUGAAACUGAUCUUCCCGUGAAGAAGCGGGAAUUACUAUAUAAGACGAGAAGACCCCAUGAAGCUUCAAAUUAAAUACCAACUGCCACUUACAACCACCCCAGCUUAGCAGGUUUGACUAUUAAUUUUAGGUUGGGGUGACCACGGAGUAAAAUAAAACCUCCACAAUGAAAGGGACCAGCCCCUUAUUCAAGAACAACAAUUCUAAUAAUCAACAAAUUGACAUAAAUUGACCCAAAUAUUUGAUCAAUGAACCAAGUUACUCUGGGGAUAACAGCGCAAUCCAUUUCAAGAGCCCGCAUCAACAAAUGGGUUUACGACCUCGAUGUUGGAUCAGGGUAUCCCAGUGGUGCAGCCGCUACUAAAGGUUCGUUUGUUCAAC
rnacentral:rRNA from 1 species